UGGCUAUUGAGACACUUAAGAGUAUAUCAUAGUUCAAAUCAAUAUCUGUUUAAAUAGGUUUGGGGAAGAAAGUGAUAGUCCCGAUUUGUCCUGGACUGUACUUUCUUUUUUUUCUUUUCAUCCUGCUGUCCAGUGUUGCCAAACCCACCGCACCCAACAGAUCAGCACAUAUCAGACACACUGGAGCAAUAUUUCAAUGUGUUACAGCAAGGCCGUAUAGAGACUGGCCACAGAAGGGCAAAAGAAGAAGAACAUGGAAACUUGGACGAUGGAAUAAGAAACUGUUUUGAACUCGUGCCGGAUAUUUUGGUGAAAAGCAAGUCAUACCUGAAAAGCUUUAGGGAUUCGGAGCAUUGCUUUAGAUGAACGCUCGUCAGUUCCGUCGCUGCCUAUAAUGUGUUCGAAAGCUCAUCAUUCUGAAAAGCAAGGUGUGCUCUGAUUGGCCAGCUAUUCAGUGUGUUGUGAUUGGCCGAAUACCUCAAACAUAUGACGGAAAUGUCAUGCCCUGAGAUGCGUGUCCUGGUCAGAACACCCACUCAAAAAAAGGACUUUUGCUAUUUGUUCAAUUUCAUUAAUUAAAAUGAGCACAUACAAAACAACUCUUGGCAAAAAUGGUCCCAACUUAAUUUUAUUAAACAUAACCAAUGUAAUUUAAAAAAAAUUAGGUUUACAGCAUUUUUUUAAAUUGAGUCAACACGAAUAUUUUUCGUUCGUCAUAACCGGAUGCACGUCAUCAACUGAAACUGUGACGCAGAUGGAUUGUUCAGAGGCGAACAUGGGAGACGGAUAAAUGCUGAAUUUCGUCGGAUCACAACCCUUCCUUUACAGUCCAAAUUCCUGUCCCAACUGAAUCGGUUCUCUGAUGAUCUCCUAAAAGUGUGUACCAAAAGGGUGGAGUGUUUAGAAAAAGGAUUCAGGAUGUGAUGGUGCCAAUGUCUCAGAAUGCCACCAUAGAGACCAAGCGAGAGUGCAUUCUCAAGCGGCUGUGCAUCUACCUGAAUGAAGAUCCACAGGAUGCGGUGAGGGAGUAUUUGGAUGUUGACCCUGCGAGCACUGAAGCGGACAUCAAGAAGACCGUUUUGGGGAUCUGUGUUGUAAAGCAUGAAUUUGCUGAUGCAACAGAAGACCUGAAGAUAUCAGCAUUGUGCUGGAAGGUGUGGAGGUGCUCUCUGCUUUAGGUAAUGUAGCAUUGGCUACAGCCAUGCUACUUGGACUAAUAUACUCUUUAAAUCUUACUUAUCCACAGGAGUUCCAUUACACUUUUAAGGUGCUCCAAAAAAUGAUUCUGGAGCUGGACUCGCAUAAACUGUCUGCCAAAGCACAGGCACUGAAAACAAAACUCUUCACUUAGAAGGUGUGAGCAGUGCUGUGUUUGAGGAUCCCUUUGUGAAUGCUGUGUUUUAUUUUCUUGUAUGCUUGUGUUCUUGU
ensembl:lncRNA